GGCUCACCUAGGCGACGAUCCCUAGCUGGUCUGAGAGGAUGACCAGCCACACUGGAACUGAGACACGGUCCAGACUCCUACGGGAGGCAGCAGUGGGGAAUAUUGCACAAUGGGCGCAAGCCUGAUGCAGCCAUGCCGCGUGUGUGAAGAAGGCCUUCGGGUUGUAAAGCACUUUCAGCGGGGAGGAAGGCGGUGAGGUUAAUAACCUCACCGAUUGACGUUACCCGCAGAAGAAGCACCGGCUAACUCCGUGCCAGCAGCCGCGGUAAUACGGAGGGUGCAAGCGUUAAUCGGAAUUACUGGGCGUAAAGCGCACGCAGGCGGUCUGUCAAGUCGGAUGUGAAAUCCCCGGGCU
rnacentral:rRNA from 1 species